rnacentral:rRNA from 1 species
CCUACGGGUGGCAACAGUAGGGAAUCUUCCACAAUGGGCGCAAGCCUGAUGGAGCAACACCGCGUGAGUGAAGAAGGGUUUCGGCUCGUAAAGCUCUGUUGUUGGAGAAGAACGUGCGUGAGAGUAACUGUUCACGCAGUGACGGUAUCCAACCAGAAAGUCACGGCUAACUACGUGCCAGCAGCCGCGGUAAUACGUAGGUGGCAAGCGUUAUCCGGAUUUAUUGGGCGUAAAGCGAGCGCAGGCGGUUGCUUAGGUCUGAUGUGAAAGCCUUCGGCUUAACCGAAGAAGUGCAUCGGAAACCGGGCGACUUGAGUGCAGACGAGGACCGUGGACCUCCAUGUGUCGCGGUGCACUGCGUCGCUCUAUGGACGACCCCCAGUGGC